rnacentral:rRNA from 1 species
AACAGGAUUAGAUACCCUGGUAGUCCAUGCCGUAAACGAUGAGUGCUAGGUGUCGGGGGUCAAACCUCGGUGCCGGAGCUAACGCAUUAAGCACUCCGCCUGGGGAGUACGUACGCAAGUAUGAAACUCAAAGGAAUUGACGGGGACCCGCACAAGCAGCGGAGCAUGUGGUUUAAUUCGAAGCAACGCGAAGAACCUUACCAGGACUUGACAUGGUAUUGACCGGUCUAGAGAUAGAUCCUUCCCUUCGGGGACAAUACACACAGGUGGUGCAUGGUUGUCGUCAGCUCGUGUCGUGAGAUGUUGGGUUAAGUCCUGUAACGAGCGCAACCCUUGUCUUUAGUUGCUAACAGGUAAUGCUGAGCACUCUAGAGAGACUGCCGAUGAUAAAUCGGAGGAAGGUGGGGAUGACGUCAAAUCAUCAUGCCCUUUAUGUCCUGGGCUACACACGUGCUACAAUGGUCGGUACAACGAGGAGCUACACAGUGAUGUGAUGCAAAUCUCUUAAAGCCGAUCCCAGUUCGGAUUGCAGGCUGCAACUCGCCUGCAUGAAGUCGGAGUUGCUAGUAAUCGUAGAUCAGAAUGCUGCGGUGAAUGCGUUCCCGGGUCUUGUACACACCGCCCGUCACACCAUGGAAGUUGGAAAUGCCCGAAGCCAGUGAGCUAACCGUUUACGGAGGCAGCUGUCGAAGGUAGGGUCAAUGACUAGGGUGAAGUCGUAACAAGGUAGCCGUAUCGGAAGGUGCGGCUGGAUCACCUCCUU